rnacentral:rRNA from 1 species
UACAGAGGGUGCAAGCGUUGUUCGGAAUUACUGGGCGUAAAGAGCGUGUAGGCGGCCAGACAAGUCUGCUGUGAAAACUCGAGGCUCAACCUCGAGCUGUCGGUGGAAACUGUCUGGCUAGAGUCCGGAAGAGGAGAGUGGAAUUCCCAGUGUAGAGGUGAAAUUCGUAGAUAUUGGGAAGAACACCGGUGGCGAAGGCGGCCAUCUGGACCGCAACUGACGCUGAGGCGCGAAAGCGUGGGGAGCAAACAGG